GACGAACGCUGGCGGCGUGCUUAACACAUGCAAGUCGAACGGUGAAAGCAGAGCUUGGUCUUCUGGUUCAGUGGCGAACGGGUGAGUAACACGUGAGUAACCUGCCCCAGACUCUGGGAUAAGCGCUGGAAACGGGGUCUAAUACCGGAUACGAGACACAGCUGCAUGGCUACUGUCUGGAAAGUUUUUCGGUCUGGGAUGGACUCGCGGCCUAUCAGCUUGUUGGUGGGGUAACGGCUCACCAAGGCAACGACGGGUAGCCGGCCUGAGAGGGCGACCGGCCACACUGGGACUGAGACACGGCCCAGACUCCUACGGGAGGCAGCAGUGGGGAAUAUUGCACAAUGGGCGAAAGCCUGAUGCAGCGACGCCGCGUGAGGGAUGACGGCCUUCGGGUUGUAAACCUCUUUCAGCAGGGAAGAAGCGAAAGUGACGGUACCUGCUGAAGAAGCACCGGCUAACUACGUG
rnacentral:rRNA from 1 species